rnacentral:rRNA from 2 species
CGGCGAGUGAAGCGGCAAAAGCUCAAAUUUGAAAUCUGGAGCCUUCGGCUUCCGAGUUGUAAUUUGCAGAGGGAGCCUCGGAGGGCGCGUCGGUCCAAGUUCCUUGGAAGAGGAUACCGCAGAGGGUGAGAGUCCCGUAUGCGGCCGACGGUGCGCUCCGUGUGAGGCCCCUUCGACGAGUCGAGUUGUUUGGGAAUGCAGCUCCAAGCGGGUGGUAAAUUCCAUCUAAAGCUAAAUACCGGCCAGAGACCGAUAGCGAACAAGUAGAGUGAUCGAAAGAUGAAAAGCACUUUGAAAAGAGAGUGAAACAGUACGUGAAAUUGUUGAAAGGGAAGCGCAUGGGGGCAGACUUGGGCGCGGGGUUCAGCGUUUCUGUUUGGAGCGUGUACUUCCCCGCGUGCAGGCCAGCAUCGGUUCCGGGGGCCGGACAAAGGCGACGGGAAUGUGGCUCCCCUCGGGGAGUGUUAUAGCCCGGCGUGCAAUGCGGCC